rnacentral:sRNA from 1 species
AUUUUCAGGCUGCACUCAGAGAAGCUGCCCUUGGCUGCUGGUAGCGCUGGGCCUUCUCUCCUCCUCAUCAUCCAGAGCAGCCAGUGUCCGGGAGGCAGAAGAUGCCCCACUCCAGCCUGCAUCCAUCCAUCCCGUGUCCCAGGGGUCACGGGGCCCAGAAAGCAGCCUUGGUUCUGCUGAGUGCCUGCCUGGUGACCCUUUGGGGGCUAGGAGAGCCGCCAGAGCACACUCUCCAGUGCCUGGUGCUCCACCUAGCCUCCCUGCAGCUGGGACUGCUGUUAAACGGGGUCUGCAGCCUGGCCGAGGAGCUGCGCCACAUCCACUCCAGGUACCGGGGCAGCUACUGGAGGACUGUGCGGGCCUGCCUGGGCUGCCCCCUCCGCCGUGGGGCCCUGUUGCUGCUAUCCAGCUAUUUCUACUACUCCCUCCCAAAUGCGGUCAGCGUGCCCUUCACUUGGAUGCUUGCCCUCCUGGGCCUCUCGCAGUCUGUGAAAAAGGGAAUUUCAACGUGGCCCAUGGGCUGGCAUGGUCAUAUUACAUCGGAUAUCUGCGGCUGAUCCUGCCAGGGAUCCAGGCCCGGAUUCGAACUUACAAUCAGCAUUACAACAACCUGCUAUGGGGUGCAGUGAGCCAGCGGCUGUAUAUUCUCCUCCCAUUGGACUGUGGGGUGCCUGAUAACCUGAGUAUGGCUGAUCCCAACAUUCGCU